CUUAGAAGACAGUGCCUUGCAACAAUGCAAACUUCUGCUCUGUUUGUGCUGCUUUUCAGGCAUGCUUGUUCAAUUCUGCUUGUGAAAUGGUAGUGCUGUUUGAGGAAGGAUUUGUUCAGCCAUCUUAUAAACCAAGAAAUAACAUUCAAUGAUGUGACGCAAACUGGG